GUAUGUGGUCACUACACAAGGAAGAUUUCUCCUAGACAAGGAAUUUCAAUACAAAUGUAUUUCACUUCUAUGACCAGCCCCUGCCUUAGCAACAACUUUAUUUAUGCUGCUCAGUGGAAGUGUGUCACAGUUUAAGACUGAAUUGACAGUGAGGAGACUAGAUGGACUUGGAUACUAAAGCACUUCUAGUAACAGAUAAAUAUUUAAUGUUAACAAGUGACAUGACUUCCCUGUUCCGCAGAAGAGACAGUGCAGUCCAGGAGAGAGGCAAAGCGAGUCAAUGUGAUGGUCUCUAACACAACCUGCCUCUCCCGCAGCGGGGGAGAUGGUGCAGCCCAGAAGAAAGUCAGGUGGGUCAGUACAGUGGCCCCAGCCAUGCAGUGGGCAGUCCAGGCACGGGCCCCUGGGGUCCCCACAGCUCACCCUGGGGCUUCUGCUGGACCUCUUCCCCAGCAAUACCCCAUCAGCAGCGCUCACAGCCUGCACUGCUGGGAAGUUCUCCACACCUCGGCAAUGGUGCAGCAAUUAAUGGUUAGUUAUUGGGGAGUAAUUGGAGGGUAAACAGGGUUUAACGAGUCCAAACCCUAUGCCAAACUGUCACAAAGCGGCACGUUGUUCAGGAUUAAGAGGGAAAUGACCUGGUGUUUUUCAAGAGACUGGUUGUGGAACAGUCUGACCCCAGGAACAGCUACUGACAAAACAUGCCAAGGAUACAUCAGGCAGGUGGGUAGGUCCUAGGCACAGUUCAGAUGAGUGCGUCAGGCAGUGCAUUCACAGUGUACCCCCACAGAAAACCACUAGCGUGUGCUCUUGCUAGUUCAGCAAAGUUGUUUGAAAUACAGUUGUGUAAACGUGCAUGAUCUGGCUAAACUUAUACCAUUAGGUGAUCCAGUAGUGUGUAUACUUUUCUUAAAUGCCUUGGAACCAUGGCCUGAAAUUCGUUCACAAUCAAGGCAAUACAAGUAUGUUUAUAACUGUCAUAUUGUACUACCACAAUCCUACUCAAUAAUUUGAUCAGUUAUUUCACAAUUAUGUUAAUGAAUUAUGAUGAAGUUUUAAAAUGCAGUAGAAUAUGGAAAUUACCAUUUUGCAAAUGUAAAUAUGUGAUAUUAAAAUAUGCAAAGUUUGUUUAUACCUUAUUACAACUAUAUACAAUGUGGAAUGUAUAGUGUAAUGGGUAUCAACUUAGUUUCAUUAAUAUUUUAGAUCAAAAUUGCAAAUUACUCUUCUUCCUGUGUAGUUUGCAGAAAACUGAGAGCUGUGAUCACUCAUUUAGGGAUCACUUGAAAUGUGAUGAGCAGUCUAGUUUCUCUUCUUCACCUCCGAACUCCACGGAGGCAGCUGCUUGUAGUUGCAUAAGAACUUUGUCACACAAUCCUACAUGGCUAGGAAUGCAACCACUCAACAUACACAGGUAAGUAUUAAGGAUGAAACCAAUAUAAACAAUAAGCCAGUAACAUGCUGCGCAGGUAGUGUAGUAUGUGAUGAGAAUUAAAUGAAAAGCAACAUGGACAAGGUAGUCUCAAAGAAGACUAAAGAAAAUGCUGGGAGGAGCGUCAGGCUUUCCUCCUAUAUUUACUGCAGUAUGACACAUAGACUGAACGUGUCUGACCGUGCACAUUCAAAGACCAGCAUCUGCCAAGAAGAAAGAAACUCCCUCUGUCUUUCUCUAAUGUAUACAGAAUUGGCUGUCUUCAAGCUAGAUCGCUAUCUACUACUUGGCUCAGGAUAAAUGAUUGCAAAAGACACACUUCCCACACUAAGAACAGCCUAUUUACUAAACAGCUGGAGCUAAUGAGAACGUAGUACACUAAUGUUUGUGACUUGUUCUAUUUCUGGGGUAUACAUUAAUGGUUCUCUACCAGUGCAAAAAGCUUUGAGCAGAGGCACUCA